rnacentral:lncRNA from 10 species
UGAUUGUAUAAGCAAAACAUGCUUAUUAUAAAAACUUGAGUACAUACAGAAAAGUAUAUAGAAGACUUAAAAUAAUUCAUAACGUUCUCGCCUAGAAAUAAUCAUUGGUAACAUUUUAGAAGAAAUACUGAAAGUUAUUUGCCUUUUUUCUGUGAAUGUACAUAUAUGUAUAUUAUUAGGAUUCAGUUCAUAUUGUAUGCACAAUUUUCUCUUUUUUCUUAACAUCAUAUCAAA